AUGGGACUGAAAGUAAUAGGAGCCAAAGGAAGAAAGGGUGACACUGGGUUAACUGGACCCCCUGGGCCCCCAGGAACUGUUAUUGUGACGUUAACUGGGCCAGACAACAUGACGGACUUGAAAGGAGAAAAAGGAGAAAAAGGAUCAAGAGGACCCCCAGGGCCAAUGGGGUUUACAGGGCCAGUUGGUGAUUCUCAGAGUGAAAAGGGUGACCGAGGAGAACCAGGAGCACAGGUAUGUGCAAACAGUUGAAUACACAUGUGUUAGUCCUUUCUGGAAAGCAGUUUUGAACUAGUGUUGCUGUCCAGGUUUUGCCUCACUGCUACUUGGAGCAAAUUUGCUUAGAUUCAAAAGCUCUUUCUUGCAGUAAACUAGACAAGAGCUGGAAGUCAAGUGACUUAAAUGAGUACUUUGAGUGAAGGUCAGUUGCUUGUGAGUAUGCUUCCAUUUUUUUUGCUAUAAAGGCUCUGCUGUUGAACUUAGUAAAAAAGUGCUCUGCUAUACAUGUACUAGCUUUAUAAUGCAAGGGUAUAAGUAGAAGAGAAAACACUGGGUUUACUUGAGGCAGCAGAUUUAAAUUAGUAUGUUCAACCAGCAGCUGUGUGGAGACAUGAAGAAAAGUUGCCUAAGAGUUAUUCCAUUAACAGCAUAGUAUAUGAAAAAAUAAUACGUUUAUUGUAAAAAGUAUACAUAUUAAAAUGCAAUUUACCUGAUUAUAUCUUUUUUUGGAAGAUAAUUAAUGGAAAGCUAUUACUUUUAUUCAAAUGCCCUUCAACUUGAAGAGAAAUUACUUAAUGAAAAGGAAUAGGGAGUGCACUUCAAAGGUAUCUGAAGCAGGGCAGUAGAUGGAAAAGUGAAAACAGAAGGAAGAAGCAUGUUUUGUCAUUUGUCUUGUUUCUGCAAGAGCCUGAUUUUUCACCAAGCUUUCUGUACUUCCCUGGCACUUUGUACUGGUGAAGUCUGGCAGAAGUAAUCCUCCACAGGAGGAGGAAUGUCAAUGGAAUAUCUUACUACCUGUUUUGUAGAGUUUUAUGAACUCUAGUUGUGAUUAAUGAAUACUUUAAAAUAACCUUAAUGGCUUUUUACAGUUUACACAGUUUACAGUUACACAGUUUACAGCAUCGAAUUGCUAUGCUCUUUGAAUGCAAUAUCCCCAAUUUUAGGGGUUUUUUAUUUUAUUUUACAUUUUUCCUUUGUAGGGCAAACCUGGAAAAGAAGGUGCCCCAGGUCCACCUGGCUUACCGGUAAUGAAGGAAGCCUUCUAAAUGUUUUCUGAGUAGUAGUCAUCUGUUUAUGACAAUUCUAUCUUCCUGUCACUGCUUUCUCUCAUUGUGGAAAGUGUUUGAAAAGUUGAUUUGCAUACACUGAAACAUUUCCUUCACACAGCUGGCCUUGGAACAUACCAUGUUCUUGUAGAUUUAUGUGCAGGAGACAGAGGCUCAGGUCAUAGAUGCUAUUGCUUCUAUGUCAAAUAAAGACCUGUUGCUUGCUGCUGACUGUCUAAUGAGUUUGAGACACACUCCAAGUUAAGCAAAAUUAAUUCUACUGAGUUUUUUUCUGGUUAGUCACAUGAAAUUUUUGCAAAAGAGUUAUACCUUCCCUUUAACGUAAAUUGAGAAGAGAAAUUAAUGGUUUUUAAUCACUAGAAUCAGAGACACUGUUUUAUGAAGGAAAGUUAUUGCCAGGGUCAUGGCUGUCUUGGCCUGAAACAAGAUGACUGAUAGCUAUUAAACUGUCAUUUUGUCAACAUAUAGUUCUUAAAAUAUGCCAUUUUAGAAGUAAAAUUGUCUCAUUUGUGUACUAAUAUAAAAGCUGAUGUUGUUCAAAUGUGUUUUCAAUGGGUUAAAUAUCAGUUCUUUUAUUUACUUCAC
ensembl:lncRNA